GACGUAGGGGGCGAGCGUUGUCCGGAUUUAUUGGGCGUAAAGCGUGCGUAGGCGGCUGCGCAAGUCGGUUGUGAAACCCCGGGGCUCAACCCCGGAACUGCAUCCGAUACUGCGUGGCUAGAGGUAGGUAGGGGAGAUCGGAAUUCCUGGUGUAGCGGUGAAAUGCGUAGAUAUCGGAAGGAACAUCGGUGGCGAAAGCGGCGCGCUGGACCUCUUCUGACGCUGAGGCACGAAAGCCAGGGGAGCAAACGGG
rnacentral:rRNA from 1 species